AGGAGGAACAACCGCAGUGGCGGAGCCAGCUCUGGAGCCCUGGAGUAACCCCCCGCAGUAACUCCAGAGCUCUCCGUCUGCAGGGCCUGGAGGCUCCAGGCCGGG
rfam:Canis lupus familiaris chromosome 19, whole genome shotgun sequence.